GCCGGGAUGGCGGAAUUGGCAGACGCGCAUGGUUCAGGACCAUGUCCCCGUAAGGGGGUAGGGGUUCGAGUCCCCUUCCCGGCA
rnacentral:tRNA from 3 species